rnacentral:rRNA from 1 species
AUUGAACGCUGGCGGCAGGCCUAACACAUGCAAGUCGAGCGGAGCGGCGGACGGGUGAGUAAUGCCUAGGAAUCUGCCUGGUAGUGGGGGAUAACGUCCGGCAACGGGCGCUAAUACCGCAUACUAUCAGAUGAGCCUAGGUGGGAUGAGCUAGGUGGUGGGGUAAGGGCCUACCAAGGCGACGAUCCGUAACUGGGCUGGGAGGAUGAUCAGUCACACUGGAACUGAGACGCGGUCCAGACUCCGCAGGGAGGCAGCAGUGGGGAAUAUUGGGCAAUGGGCUAAAGCUUGGUACAGCCAUGCCGGGUGUGUGGAGAAGGUCUUCGGAGUUUAAAGCUCUUAAAGUUGGGAUGCGGUAGCUGGAGAAUAAGCACCGGCUAACUUCGUGCCAGCAGCCGCGGUAAUUC